UGGUCAUGAAAUCUACAUACCAAAGAGGGA
rnacentral:piRNA from 1 species